rnacentral:rRNA from 1 species
UACAGAGGUCCCAAGCGUUUGUUCGGAUUCAUUGGGCGUAAAGGGUGCGUAGGUGGCGUCGUAAGUCGGGUGUGAAAUCUCGGGGCUUAACUCCGAAACUGCAUUCGAUACUGCGGUGCUUGAGGACUGGAGAGGAGACUGGAAUUUACGGUGUAGCAGUGAAAUGCGUAGAGAUCGUAAGGAAGACCAGUGGCGAAGGCGGGUCUCUGGACAGUUCCUGACACUGAGGCACGAAGGCCAGGGGAGCAAACGGG